AUCCACUCUUCCAAGCGUAAUACGAUAGAGAGAACCUUUGGUGUGUGGAAGAUGAAAUGACAAAUCUUUCUCAAGAUGCCAAACUACUCGAUUGCAACACAAAAACUGAUUGCCGCAACUACCAUUACACUACACAACUACGUCUGCCUCCAUGACAAAGAGGAUCUCCACUUUCUUCAGUGCGAGAGGGAUCUUGAUUAUGCUCCAACUAUUCCUAAUAGAUACAAGAAGUAUGCUAUUCCUUCAAAUGCAUCGGAUGCUUCAACAAUGGCAGAAAGUGGUCUUAACAUGGAUUUGUUUAGGCAUGAACUAGCUACUGCCAUUGCUCUUAGUUGGUGA
rnacentral:rRNA from 1 species